AGAGGCAUAGUGUCUCCUGCCUUUCUCUGUGAGAGUGAGGCUUUGCUCGGGUGGGGGGACUCCGACAGCUUGGGGGAGCACAGCCGUGCAACAAAAAAAAAGACUGUCUACAAGUUUGCCUCGGGAUCGUCUUCAGUUUAACCUCACGUGCAGGCUCCCCUGAAGGCCCUCCUCUUAGUGUAUUUGACAGGCUGUGUUGGACACUCGAUAUAAAUGGGUGUCAGUUUGUCAAAUACCCCAAGAGAGGGGUCACUUUCCAUCUGGAAGAAAGAAGUCUUCCAGAAGACAGAGAGAGUGGAUAUUUUUCAUCACCACUUGACUGUGAGAGAACGCAUGUGAAACCUCCUAAUGUUCUACACAUUGCUGUCAAAAAUUAGAUGUCAUCAGCUUCUGAUGUCUUACACAAUGCAUGGGCCAUUUGGUAUAAGUUUUAGUUUUCAUGCUGCAUCCAUGACCUUGGAUAGCCACAUUUGUUGCAUGACUGCUACCUUAUUGAAAUCUAAUGGUAUUCUGUUUCAGUGUGAACUUUGUGAAAUUAAUCAUUGCCUUUAAACUUCUUUGUCUGGUCCUUCAAAUCAGCUACACAGAUGGCAUGACCUUCACUCAAUUACAUAUGACAGCCAUAACCAGCCUGGUAAAGGCUGUCAGAGAGUUCUCUUGGUUGUUUUUCUAUGUUUUCUUGAGACUAUUACACUUCGAUCUAAAGCUUGAGAUAAUGUAAUGCUGAACAUUCAUUUAUAGAUGUCUAUCUUUACCUCUGUGGUUGUCUGCAGCUAAGCACUGGGGUUGUGCUGUUCCAAAUGUAGGUGUGUUGCAAGUAUUCAAAUGUAAUGUGAUCCUGCAUAAGAGCUCAGGCAUUCUCCCUUGAAAGGUACUCCAAUCAAGCUUCUGAGGUCUUGAGAGGCGUUCAAAGGUAGCUGUUACACAUUGAUUCCACCGGCAAAGCUAUGAAAGAUGGUUUUCAUGGUUAAUUUUCAUUUUCAUUCUAGCCUCCAUAUCACUAAUAUUAAUAGAGCUAUGGUUCCUUCCUCAAUGCUACUAAAAAGCUGCUCUGAAAAAAGAUGUUACCAUCUACAGGAAGUACCGUAUAAUGGAGUGCCGCUUUUUGCUGAUCUCUUAAAUGACACUCUGAAUAAAGAUAUAUUUCAGCUCAA